UUUGCUCAACUGGAAGGAACAUGGAA
rnacentral:piRNA from 1 species